rnacentral:rRNA from 1 species
GACGAACGCGGCGGCGUGCUUAACACAUGCAAGUCGAACGGAGCGAAUGAAAGCUUGCUUUUAUGAGCUUAGUGGCAAACGGGUGAGUAACACGUAGACAACCUGCCGAUCAGAUGGGGACAACAUUCCGAAAGGAAUGCUAAUACCGAAUGAGGUGUAGGGGAGGCAUCUCCCCUACAUGAAAGAUGGCCUCUAUAUAUAAGCUAUCACUGAUCGAUGGGUCUGCGUCUGAUUAGCUAGUAGGUAAGGUAACGGCUUACCUAGGCGACGAUCAGUAGCCGGUCUGAGAGGAUGAACGGCCACAUUGGGACUGAGACACGGCCCAGACUCCUACGGGAGGCAGCAGUGGGGAAUCUUCCGCAAUGGGCGCAAGCCUGACGGAGCAACGCCGCGUGAGUGAAGAAGGUCUUCGGAUCGUAAAGCUCUGUUGAAAGGGGACGAAACGUGCAUAAAC